CUUCACCGAGCCGAGCAGCAGCGGCCGGUCGGCGGGCCGGUCCUGGCCGUAGGUGGCGAGGAGGGCUUGGGCCUC
rnacentral:antisense_RNA from 1 species